GUACUUAUAGUUUAACCAAAACAUUAGAUUG
rnacentral:tRNA from 9 species